rnacentral:rRNA from 1 species
UACGUAGGGGGCAAGCGUUGUCCGGAAUUAUUGGGCGUAAAGCGCGCGUAGGCGGCUACUUAAGUCGGAUGUGAAAGCCCUUGGCUCAACUGAGGAAGUGCACCCGAAACUGAGUGGCUUGAGUACCAAAGAGGGUCGCGGAAUUCCUGGUGUAGCGGUGAAAUGCGCAGAUAUCAGGAGGAACACCGGUGGCGAAGGCGGUUCUCUGGGCAUUACCUGACGCUGAGGAGCGAAAGUGUGGGGAGCGAACAGG